CACACCAAACAACCACAGCAGUCACACCAAACAACCACAGCAGUCACAUACCAAACAACCACAGCAGUCACACACCAGGUAUCUGUGACCUUUGCACUUCAAUCUCAAGUUUGUAGGUAUAUGUGACCUUUGAACUCCAAUGUCGAGGUUGUAGGUAUCUGUGACCUUUGCACUUCAAUCUCAAGCUUUUAAGUAUUUUAGACCUUUGAACUCCAAUUUCAAGGUUGUAGGUAUCUGUGACCUUGGAACUCCAAAUCUCAAGGUUGUAAGUGUAUGUGACCUUGGAACUCCGAAUCUCAAGAUUGUAGGUAUCUGUAUUAAACUGUUGACCCCUGGUGUUGUCACGUCAACAGGUUUAUUUUGUUAAUAUAGAGAGUAUCCAUAGAUUUGUCUUUUGCUGAAUAAAAUACAUUACUGAAAUAC